UGCAUUUUGUGGCACGAAAGGUUGCAAUUCAGAUAAUGGAAAGAAAGGGGUGUAUAUCUACUUUGGAUGAUGUUAAAGUUCACCCUUUCCCAAACCUGGAAAAAAAUGUCCACGCAGAGGAAACGAUGGCGUCAUUUGUUUAGAAAACCACGAGUAGCAGAACAGUGCAGAAAAUUAGAGCGAUUACUACAUUCCGUAAAAGCUGAUCCAACACAGAAGCAUCCCUGUUCUAGCCAUUUCACCAUAUGAAAGGCGAAGAUAACAAACAGUGAUCCAAGUUUUAAGAAAACCAAGAGGUUGAUAACAAUGACUGUACUCCUUAUGUUGACUGGAAUUAUUGAUUGGUAUGCAGUAAAACAGCUGAAGGAAAGUUCAACUAUUAAUUCAUUUCAGCCUGGUAGUCUGGCAGUAUUAUAGGUAAUCUGGCAGUAAUGGCAUGACAUCAUGAGAGCUAAUCAACAUGGUUAAUGAUGUAUAGAGACACUGUCUGAAGACCUCGAGGGAAAGGCAAGGAAAAUGGAUGAUCCACUUCCUAUAUCCCUGUAAAAAAGAGGAAGGAUACCACAAUAUUGACGAUAAAUUAUUGUCAAUUCAAGAAGCAAAGUUGUGAAAAUGCAAAAAUAAUAAUUAAUGUAUUUGUUAGAAAAAUAUCGUUAACUGCAUAUAUAUUUCUUGAACUUAUUCAGGAAUACAUCAGAUGUAGUCAUUCAUAUUAAAACUGAAUCUAUGAAUUUU